GACGAACGCUGGCGGCGUGCCUAACACAUGCAAGUCGAACGGACAGGUCCUGCUCUUGCUGCGUUCUCGUGUGGCGAACGGGUGAGUAUCACGUGAGUGACCUGUCCCUGACUUUGGGAUAACAUCAGGAGACUCGGGCUCAUAUCGGAUAGGAGCUUCCGCUGCAUGGUGGGGGUUGGAAAGUUUUGGCGGUUGGGGAUCGACUAGCGGGUUAUCCGCUUGUUUGUGGGGUAGUGGCUUACCAGGGCUUUGAAGGGUAGCCGGCCUGGGAGGGGUGCCGGCGACAAGGCGACUGCGGGACGGCCCAGACGCGUACGGGAGGCAGCAGGGGGGAGUAUUGCACAGUGGGCGGAAGCCUGAUGCAGCAACGCCGCGUGCGGAAUGACGUCCUACGAGUUGUAAACCGCUGUCGCAGGUGACGAAGCGGGAGUGACGGUAAUGGGUAAAGAAGCAACGGCUAACUACGUG
rnacentral:rRNA from 1 species